GACGAACGCUGGCGGCGUGCUUAACACAUGCAAGUCGAACGGUGAAGCUCCAAGCUUGCUUGGGGUGGAUCAGUGGCGAACGGGUGAGUAACACGUGAGCAACCUGCCCUGGACUCUGGAAUAAGCGCUGGAAACGGCGUCUAAUACUGGAUAUGACAUCGGCCCGCAUGGGUUGGUGUGGAAAGGUUUUCGGUCUGGGAUGGGCUCGCGGCCUAUCAGCUUGUUGGUGAGGUAAGGGCUUACCAAGGCGACGACGGGUAGCCGGCCUGAGAGGGCGACCGGCCACACUGGGACUGAGACACGGCCCAGACUCCUACGGGAGGCAGCAGUGGGGAAUAUUGCACAAUGGGCGCAAGCCUGAUGCAGCGACGCCGCGUGAGGGAUGACGGCCUUCGGGUUGUAAACCUCUUUCAGCAGGGAAGAAGCGCAAGUGACGGUACCUGCAGAAGAAGCACCGGCUAACUACGUGCCAGCCGCCGCCGUAACAC
rnacentral:rRNA from 1 species